rfam:Bacilli bacterium VT-13-104 contig080, whole genome shotgun sequence.
GGAGGUAUACCCAAGUCUGGCUGAAGGGGUCGGUCUUGAAAACCGAGAGGCGGGUCAAACCGCGCGGGGGUUCGAAUCCCUCUACCUCCU